rnacentral:rRNA from 1 species
CACGGGCCCUACUCCUACGGGAGGCAGCAGUGGGGAAUCUUGGACAAUGGGCGAAAGCCUGAUCCAGCGACGCCGCGUGAAGGAAGAAGUCCCUCGGGAUGUAAACUUCUGAACUAAUCGAAUAAAAGGGUAGUGGACACACUACAGAAGAAGGUAGGUUAGGAAAAGUCCCGGCUAACUACGUGCCAGCAGCCGCGGUAAGACGUAGGGGGCGAGCGUUGCCCGGAAUUACUGGGUGUAAAGGGGACGUAGGCGGGUGAUCAAGUCAUCUGUGAAAAGAUUGCUCAACGAUCGGCUUGCGGAUGAAACUGAUCAUCUUGGGCGUAGCAGAGGUAGACGGAAUUACCUGAGUAGGGGUGAAAUCCGCAGAUACAGGUAAGAACGCCGGUGAAGAAGUUGGUCUACUGGGCUACAGCUGACGCUGAGGUCCGAAAGCCAGGGGAGCAAACCGGAUUAGAUACCCGGGUAGUC